rnacentral:rRNA from 1 species
UACGUAGGCAGCAAGCGUUGUUCGGAGUUAUUGGGCGUAAAGGGCUCGUAGGCGGUUUGUCACGUCGGGAGUGAAAACUCGGGGCUCAACCCCGAGCCUGCUUCCGAUACGGGCAGACUAGAGGUAUGCAGGGGAGAAUGGAAUUCCUGGUGUAGCGGUGAAAUGCGCAGAUAUCAGGAGGAACACCGGUGGCGAAGGCGGGUCUCUGGGCAUUAACUGACGCUGAGGAGCGAAAGCAUGGGGAGCGAACAGG